GGCCUAUCAGCUUGUUGGUGGGGUGAUGGCCUACCAAGGCGACGACGGGUAGCCGGCCUGAGAGGGCGGGCGGCCACACUGGGACUGAGACACGGCCCAGACUCCUACGGGAGGCAGCAGUGGGGAAUAUUGCGCAAUGGGCGGAAGCCUGACGCAGCGACGCCGCGUGGGGGAUGAAGGCCUUCGGGUUGUAAACCUCUUUCAGCAGGGACGAAGCGAGAGUGACGGUACCUGCAGAAGAAGCGCCGGCUAACUACGUGCCAGCAGCCGCGGUAAUACGUAGGGCGCAAGCGUUGUCCGGAAUUAUUGGGCGUAAAGAGCUCGUAGGCGGCUUGUUGCGUCUGCUGUGAAAACCCGGGGCUCAACCCCGGCCUUGCAGUGGAUACGGGCUAGCUGGAGGCAGGCAGGGGAGAAUGGAAUUCCCGGUGUAGCGGUGAAAUGCGCAGAUAUCGGGAGGAACACCGGUGGCGAAGGCGGUUCUCUGGGCCUGUACUGACGCUGAGGAGCGAAAGCGUGGGGAGCG
rnacentral:rRNA from 1 species